AUUGAACGCUGGCGGCAGGCCUAACACAUGCAAGUCGAGCGAGCGGCGGACGGGUGUGUAAUGUAUGGGGACUGCCCGAUAGAGGGGGAUAACUCCUGGAAACGGUAGCUACUACCGCAUACUAUCUUAUAACCCAUAUUGGAUUAGCUAGUAGGUGAGGUAAUGGCUCCCCUAGGCGACGAUCCCUAGCUGGUCUGAGAGGAUGAUCAGCCACACUGGAACGGAGACACGGCCCAGACUCCUACGGAGGCAGCAGUGGUGAAUAUUGCACAAUGGGCGCAAGCCUGAUGCAGCAAUGCCGCGGGUAUGAAGAAGGCCCUAGGGUUGUAAAGUACUUUCAGUCGGGAGGCGUUACCGACAGAAGAAGCACCGGCUAACUCCGUGCCAGCAGCCGAGGUAAUUC
rnacentral:rRNA from 1 species